AUAUGUGAUGACUUACUGAAUCUCGUUCGGCUGAUGAUUUGCUGUGAGACUCGGAAAUCUGAUUUCC
rnacentral:snoRNA from 10 species